rnacentral:rRNA from 1 species
CCCUUAGAUGUUCUGGGCCGCACGCGUGCUACACUGACCGGUGCAACAAGUUUCUUUCCUUGGCUCGAUAGGCCUGGGUAAUCUUUGAACGCUGUUCGUGAUUGGGAUAGACCUUUGCAAUUAUGGGUCUUCAACGAGGAAUUCCUAGUAAACGCAAGUCAUCAGCUUGCAUUGAUUACGUCCCUGCCCUUUGUACACACCGCCCGUCGCACCUACCGAUUGAAUGGUCCGGUGAAAUCUCGGGACGGCGGCUUGGUCGCUUGCGUCCGACUGCUGAAACUUGAUUAAACCAUAUCAUUUAGAGGAAGGUGAAGUCGUAACA